GAGGAAUAUUGGUCAAUGGGCGAGAGCCUGAACCAGCCAAGUAGCGUGCAGGAUGACGGCCCUAUGGGUUGUAAACUGCUUUUGUACGGGGAUAAAGGAGCUUACGUGUAAGUUUUUGCAGGUACCGUACGAAUAAGGACCGGCUAAUUCCGUGCCAGCAGCCGCGGUAAUACGGAAGGUCCGGGCGUUAUCCGGAUUUAUUGGGUUUAAAGGGAGCGCAGGCUGUCGGUUAAGCGUGUUGUGAAAUGUAGGUGCCCAACACCUGCACUGCAGCGCGAACUGGCUGACUUGAGUACGCACGACGUUGGCGGAAUUUGCCGUGUAGCGGUGAAAUGCUUAGAUAUGGCGAAGAACUCCGAUUGCGAAGGCAGCUGACGGGAGCGCAACUGACGCUGAAGCUCGAAAGCGCGGGUAUCGAAC
rnacentral:rRNA from 1 species